ensembl:rRNA 5S_rRNA 5S ribosomal RNA
GCUUACGGCCAUACCUCUCUGGCUCCGCCUGAUCUCGUCUGAUCUCAGAAGCUAAGCAGAGUAGGGCCUGGUUAGUACUUGGAUGGAAGACUGCCUGGGAAUCCCAGGUGCCGUAAGCU